rnacentral:rRNA from 1 species
GUGUCAGCCGCCGCGGUAAGACGAACCGUGCAAACGUUGUUCGGAAUCACUGGGCUUAAAGGGCGCGUAGGCGGGCUAUAAAGUCAGUGGUGAAAUCUUUCAGCUCAACUGGAAAAGUGCCGCUGAUACUGAUAGUCUCGAGGGAGGUAGGGGUCGAUGGAACUAAUGGUGGAGCGGUGAAAUGCGUAGAUAUCAUUAGGAACGCCGGUGGCGAAAGCGAUCGACUGGACCUCUUCUGACGCUGAGGCGCGAAAGCUAGGGGAGCAAACGGGAUUAGAUACCCCUGUAGUCC